AACUCUUAGCAGUGGAUCACUCAGCUCAUGUGUUGAUGAUGAAUGCAGCUAGCUGUGAGAAUUAAUGUGAAUUGCAGGACAAAUUGAUCACUGACACUUCGAGAGUCUGAGAUUCCUCCUGGGGCUACGACUGUCUGAGUGUUG
rnacentral:rRNA from 1 species